GGUUGGGUCCUGCGCGGCGGAAACCUUCGAACCCCGCCAGGUCCGGGAGGAAGCAACGGUAAGGAGGCAUUUCCGGGCGCCGCAGGGGUGCCUGAUCUUC
rnacentral:SRP_RNA from 1 species